rnacentral:rRNA from 1 species
UACGGAGGAUGCAAGCGUUAUCCGGAAUCAUUGGGCGUAAAGCGUCCGUAGGUGGCUUUUCAAGUCUGCGGUCAAAGCACAAGGCUUAACCUUGUAAAGGCCGUGGAAACUGAAAUGGCUAGAGUGCGGUAGGGGUGAGAGGGAAUUCCCAGUGUAGCGGUGGAAAUGACGUAGAGAUUGGGAAGAACACCGGUGGCGAAAGCGCUCUACUGGGCCUGCACUGACACUGAGGCACGAAAGCGUGGGGAGCAAACAGG